rnacentral:tRNA from 1 species
GAGGCUGGGGCUCAGUGGUAGAGUGCUCCCCUAGCAUGGGUGAGACACUGGGUUUGAGCCUCAGCACCACA